CCUACGGGAGGCAGCAGUGAGGAAUAUUGGUCAAUGGACGCAAGUCUGAACCAGCCAUGCCGCGUGAAGGAAGACGGCUCUAUGAGUUGUAAACUGCUUUUGUAUGAGGGUAAAUGCAGAUACGUGUAUCUUUCUGUAUGUAUCGUACGAAUAAGGAUCGGCUAACUCCGUGCCAGCAGCCGCGGUAAUACGGAGGAUUCAAGCGUUAUCCGGAUUUAUUGGGUUUAAAGGGUGCGUAGGCGGUCGGAUAAGUUAGAGGUGAAAUCCCGAGGCUCAACUGGGAAAUUGCCGUUGAUACUGGGCGGCUAGAGAGUAGUUGAGGUAGGCGGAAUGCAUGGUGUAGCGGUGAAAUGCUUAGAGAUCAUGAAGAACACCGAUUGCGAAGGCAGCUUAC
rnacentral:rRNA from 1 species